rnacentral:lncRNA from 1 species
UCAAUGAUGAGAACACAUGGACACAAAGCAGAGAACAAUAGACCUGGAGGCCUACUGGAGGGUGAAGGGUGGAAGGAGGGAGAGAAUCAGGAAAAAUAACUACUUGGUGCUAUGCCUAAUACCUACCUGAGUGAUGAAAUAAUCUGUACAACAAACCCCCACGACAUGAGUUUACCUAUAUAACUGAUAUGGUUUGGCUGUGUCCCCACCCAUAUAUCAUCUUGAAAUAUAAUCCCUAUAAUCCCCAUGUGUCCAGGGAGAGACCUGGUGGGAGGUGAUUGGAUCUUGGGAGCAUUUCCCCCAUGCUGUUUUCAUGAUAGUGAGGGAGCUCUCAUGAGAUCUGAUGGUUUUAUAAGGGGCUCUUCCUCCUUCAUUCCUCACUCUUUUCUCUCUUGCCUACUGCCAUAUAACAC